rnacentral:lncRNA from 1 species
UGAAGCAGCUUUUUGUUUUGAGGGCACCAGGCUGGGUCUGGUUCACUGCCAUGGCCUUGAGCUAGCACCAACAGCAUGAGCAGAGCAGCAGGUGCUCCAGCAGGAGGAGGCUCCUAGCCAGAAGGUCAAGUCCAGGGAGAGUGGUUCUCAGCAAGUCAAAGGCUGCGAUGCCGUGCCAGUCCCAAGCUAUGGGAUCCUAGGGGAUCUAUGCAUGACCACUAGGCAGGGGAGGCUCUUCAGAGAGGGUGUGAAGGCCCAGGGGCAAGCAACCCCAGGCUGGCAACCACAAGGUAUGGAGGCCACAAGACAUAGGCCUAGGAAGAAAAGCACACCAUGCAGGUGACAUGGUCUUCUGGCCCUUAGACAGUGGCCGUGUCCUCGACUGGGCAGCAAUAGAGGGACUGAGGGUCUUUGGGGAGCAGCUGGGGAGCCCGCCCUCCAGGCUCUGACUUCCCUCCAGAGCCAGAGGCUAGGAUGGCCAGGAUCCCCCCCUUGCCCCCACACUGCCCUGGUCAGGUGAUGCAACCACAAAUCCACUCCUCAUAGGACGAACCCGCAGAGCCCUGGCCCCACCUGGAGGGAUCCAGAAACUGACAGAGGCAGCGCCGUGGAAAACUGCCUUUGACCAAGCAAACAGUCCUUCCUUGCUCAUCUGGAUAGCCAGCUUGAGCUUCAGGCACUUUUCCCUCACCUUUUCUCCCAUUUGGCCCUACCCUCUGGGGCAGCCCAAGCAUGCCAGUCACAGAGGCAGCCAGGACACCCCCAGAAAUGGACUAUUAGAGGUUCCCUGCAGGGCAGUGAUGGGGGAACAGCAAGUGAGAGGGGGAGGGCCUCGAAGAAAACCUAGGGAGGCAAUGAUGGGUUCACGUUGCCGCUUCCCACUGGGCUGAAGAUAACAGAAGCCAAAAAUAAUACAAGAGAAUAAUAUCACCCUGCCCCCUUUACACAGCUCCCGAGAUCUCAUUAGGAACCCGGUGUGGGAGAGGAGCAGAGAAUGGGGGCCCCUGCUCUGAACUGUGUAGGGCAGGAGGGGCCGGAGGCCUGGGGGGCAUGCGUGGGAAGGAUGCAGUGAGGGGGAUCGGUCAAUGUGGUGGGGGGCCACCUGGCCACCAGCUCCUAUCUCAGCCUAGUCCUCCUUUGACACGCCACACCCUUGGUGAAGUGGGCAGUGAGGCCACACCCGCCUCAGCCCCCCUCAUCAGUGCAGGGGCCACCCAAGUACUUACAAGAUGUGCUGCUAGCUGGGUGCCCAGAGGUCAGACGCCAGAGGAUCUCGGGCAGGGGCUAGAGGGGCCACAUCCUCGGGCGACACGUGAACUGCAUUUAUUUUGCAGGCCUUCACCGAAUGUUCAAGGCUGCCAAGUGUGGGGCCCU